rnacentral:rRNA from 1 species
AGAGUUUGAUCAUAGCUCAGGAUGAACGCUAGCUACAGGCUUAACACAUGCAAGUCGAGGGGAAACGACAUCGAAAGCUUGCUUUUGAUGGGCGUCGACCGGCGUACGGGUGAGUAACGCGUAUCCAACCUGCCCACCACUUGGGGAUAACCUUGCGAAAGUAAGACUAAUACCCAAUGAUAUCUCUAGAAGACAUCUGAAAGAGAUUAAAGAUUUANCGGUGAUGGAUGGGGAUGCGUCUGAUUAGCUUGUUGGCGGGGUAACGGCCCACCAAGGCAACGAUCAGUAGGGGUUCUGAGAGGAAGGUCCCCCACAUUGGAGCUGAGACACGGUCCAAACUCCUACGGGAGGCAGCA